rnacentral:rRNA from 1 species
UACAGAGGGUGCGAGCGUUAAUCGGAAUUACUGGGCGUAAAGCGCACGUAGGUGGCGACGUAAGUCGGGUGUGAAAUCCCUGGGCUCAACCCAGGAACUGCGUCCGAUACUGGUUGGCUUGAAUCCGGGAGAGGGAUGUGGAAUUCCAGGUGUAGCGGUGAAAUGCGUAGAUAUCUGGAGGAACACCGGUGGCGAAGGCGGCAUCCUGGACCGGCAUUGACGCUGAGGCGCGAAAGCCAGGGGAGCAAACGGG